rnacentral:rRNA from 1 species
UACGUAGGGUGCGAGCGUUAAUCGGAAUUACUGGGCGUAAAGCGUGCGCAGGCGGUUUUGUAAGCCAGAUGUGAAAGCCCCGGGCUUAACCUGGGAAUGGCAUUUGGGACUGCAAGGCUUGAGUGCGGCAGAGGAGACUGGAAUUCCUGGUGUAGCAGUGAAAUGCGUAGAUAUCAGGAGGAAUACCGAUGGCGAAGGCAGGUCUCUGGGCUGACACUGACGCUCAUGCACGAAAGCGUGGGGAGCAAACGAGGAU